rnacentral:rRNA from 1 species
CCUAUAAGACUGGGAUAACUUCGGGAAACCGGAGCUAAUGCCGGAUAACAUUUGGAACCGCAUGGUUCUAAAGUAAAAGAUGGUUUUGCUAUCACUUAUAGAUGGACCCGCGCCGUAUUAGCUAGUUGGUAAGGUAACGGCUUACCAAGGCAACGAUACGUAGCCGACCUGAGAGGGUGAUCGGCCACACUGGAACUGAGACACGGUCCAGACUCCUACGGGAGGCAGCAGUAGGGAAUCUUCCGCAAUGGACGAAAGUCUGACGGAGCAACGCCGCGUGAGUGAUGAAGGUUUUCGAAUCGUAAAACUCUGUUAUUAGGGAAGAACAAAUGUGUAAGUAACUGUGCACAUCUUGACGGUACCUAAUCAGAAAGCCACGGCUAACUACGUGCCAGCAGCCGCGGUAAUACGUAGGUGGCAAGCGUUAUCCGGAAUUAUUGGGCGUAAAGCGCGCGUAGGCGGUUUCUUAAGUCUGAUGUGAAAGCCCACGGCUCAACCGUGGAGGGUCAUUGGAAACUGGGAAACUUGAGUACAGAAGAGGAAAGUGGAAUUCCAUGUGUAGCGGUGAAAUGCGCAGAGAUAUGGAGGAACACCAGUGGCGAAGGCGACUUUCUGGUCUGUAACUGACGCUGAUGUGCGAAAGCGUGGGGAUCAAACAGGAUUAGAUACCCUGGUAGUCCACGCCGUAAACGAUGAGUGCUAAGUGUUAGGGGGUUUCCGCCCCUUAGUGCUGCAGCUAACGCAUUAAGCACUCCGCCUGGGGAGUACGACCGCAAGGUUGAAACUCAA